rnacentral:rRNA from 1 species
GGUGCUUGCACCUUUCAAGCGAGUGGCGAACGGGUGAGUAACACGUGGAUAACCUGCCUCAAGGCUGGGGAUAACAUUUGGAAACAGAUGCUAAUACCGAAUAAAACUUAGUAUCGCAUGAUACAAAGUUGAAAGGCGCUACGGCGUCACCUAGAGAUGGGUCCGCGGUGCAUUAGUUAGUUGGUGGGGUAAAGGCCUACCAAGACAAUGAUGCAUAGCCGAGUUGAGAGACUGAUCGGCCACAUUGGGACUGAGACACGGCCCAAACUCCUACGGGAGGCUGCAGUAGGGAAUCUUCCACAAUGGGCGAAAGCCUGAUGGAGCAACGCCGCGUGUGUGAUGAAGGCUUUAGGGUCGUAAAGCACUGUUGUAUGGGAAGAAAUGCUAGAAUAGGGAAUGAUUCUAGUUCGACGGUACCAUACCAGAAAGGGACGGCUAAAUACGUGCCAGCAGCCGCGGUAAUACGUAUGUCCCGAGCGUUAUCCGGAUUUAUUGGGCGUAAAGCGAGCGCAGACGGUUGAUUAAGUCUGAUGUGAAAGCCCGGAGCUCAACUCCGGAAUGGCAUUGGAAACUGGUUAACUUGAGUGUUGUAGAGGUAAGUGGAACUCCAUGUGUAGCGGUGGAAUGCGUAGAUAUAUGGAAGAACACCAGUGGCGAAGGCGGCUUACUG